UACAGAGGGGGCAAGCGUUGUUCGGAAUUACUGGGCGUAAAGCGCACGUAGGCGGAUUGUUAAGUCAGGGGUGAAAUCCUGGAGCUCAACUCCAGAACUGCCUUUGAUACUGGCGAUCUCGAGUCCGGGAGAGGUGAGUGGAACUGCGAGUGUAGAGGUGAAAUUCGUAGAUAUUCGCAAGAACACCAGUGGCGAAGGCGGCUCACUGGCCCGGUACUGACGCUGAGGUGCGAAAGCUAGGGGAGCGAACAGG
rnacentral:rRNA from 1 species